rnacentral:rRNA from 1 species
UACGGGGGGGGCAAGCGUUGUUCGGAAUUACUGGGCGUAAAGGGCGCGUAGGCGGUUUGCUAAGUUGGAUGUGAAAACUCUGGGCUUAACUCAGAGCCUGCAUCCAAAACUGGCAAACUUGAGUACUGGAGGGGAAAGCGGAAUUCCUGGUGUAGCGGUGAAAUGCGUAGAUAUCAGGAGGAACACCGGUGGCGAAGGCGGCUUUCUGGACAGUAACUGACGCUGAGGCGCGAAAGCUAGGGGAGCAAACAGG